CAGUCGCCGCGGUAAUACGGAGGGUGCAAGCGUUAUCCGGAUUUAUUGGUUUUAAAGGGUCCGUAGGCGGACUUAUAAGUCAGUGGUGAAAGCCUGUCGCUUAACGAUAGAACUGCCAUUGAUACUGUAAGUCUUGAGUAUAUUUUAGGUAGCUGGAAUAAGUAGUGUAGCGGUGAAAUGCAUAGAUAUUACUUAGAACACCAAUUGCGAAGGCAGGUUACCAAGAUAUAACUGACGCUGAGGGACGAAAGCGUGGGUAGCGAACAGGAUUAGAUACCCCCGUAGUCCCUGUCUCUUAUAC
rnacentral:rRNA from 1 species